rnacentral:misc_RNA from 1 species
GACAGAGGGUGCAAGCGUUGUUCGGAAUUAUUGGGCGUAAAGCGCACGUAGGCGGUCUGUUAAGUCGGGUGUGAAAGCCCGGGGCUCAACCCCGGAAGUGCACUCGAAACUAGCAGACUUGAGUCCCGGAGAGGAUGGCGGAAUUCCUGGUGUAGAGGUGAAAUUCGUAGAUAUCAGGAGGAACAUCCGUGGCGAAGGCGGCCAUCUGGACGGUGACUGACGCUGAGGUGCGAAAGCGUGGGGAGCAAACAGG